rnacentral:lncRNA from 1 species
AACCUACUCCCAUUACAGAUGCUUAACGUGUUAAAAUAGUCUCACUCUGAUGCUUCCUAGUUUCAUAGAUGACUUGAUUUUACAUCAAUAAUACUCAAAGUGCUUAUUCUAAACACAUACAGGCAGUGCAGAUGGAGGCAAUUGUUUCUGCAGCAACAAGGGCCACGUGAAAGUGAUAGGGAAACCUCUACUCCAUCACCGCGUCCGCUCCUCAGCUCACUCUUGCUGUAGGCCUGAGUUUACUGCUUCAUGGUUUUGAGAGAUUGAAAAAUCCAACAAUCUACCUUUGAAUAUGGACCACAGAAAAGAUAUUUAAAAGUCCAGUUCCCUUCCUAAGAUUGUCUGUGGAAUGACUUCAGAAGAGGAUCCAUCACACUGAAGGUGCAGAUCCUGACUCUAGAGAUCAGAGCUGCCUGACUGAGAGGUUGAUGGCUAUGGACACUCCAGGACAAGGCCCAUACCCUGACUGCAGCAUCCCAAGGACCUUCUGCUGGUCAUUAUAAUUGCAGCCUCAUGGGCCUCUGUGACCUGCAGGGCUGUGACUGGAUACCCAGUAGAGAAGGUGACUGUGAAGCCAAGCCAAGAGGAGCUGCAUGAGUAAUUUCAAAUAGAAAGAUCCAUCUACACUCAGGAUAUAAGAGAACAUCCUGAAGUACAUGGGUGUAACUUUGCAAGAGUGGAGCUGGACGUGCAGAACUACUUGCCUCAAAUACUGGCUCUGAAAGAUUGAAGGUCAUCCCCAAGCAUCUUUCAUAACCAUCAGCUUGUUAGAGCCCAGGUAGAAACACUAAGGUUUCAUUUGCGAGAGGCAGGGGAAGGCAGGAAACAGGGGAUUAAACUUUCAAGCUGCAAAUAAAAUAAACUCUGGCCUCAGUCCUCUGAAGAUCAGGAUGCCCAACCACCUAUUUCCUUCAGAAAGGGUGAAGAGUGGGCCCUCCUCACCCCUAGUGUGGCCAUAAUUGUACUAUGAACCCACCUAUAUCUACCAAGGCAGAAGAUGGGACCGUUCAAGGGAACUUGGCAAUGAUUGCCGCUGCCAUCAGUAAUAUUUACCAUUUCAUGAUUCAGCAUUUCUCUCUGCGUGAUUCUUCUAAAGAGUAUAAAUAAUUCAGACUAAAUUAAAGUUACUAGAAGGAUAUUUUAAGCCUAAAGUUUGAAUUCAUAC